GACGAACGCUGGCGGCGUGCUUAACACAUGCAAGUCGAACGGAAAGGCUCCAGCUUGCUGGAGUACUCGAGUGGCGAACGGGUGAGUAACACGUGGGUAAUCUGCCCUGCACUCUGGGAUAAGCCUGGGAAACUGGGGCUAAUACUGGAUAUGACCUUUCUCCUUAUGGGGUUUGGUGGAAAGUUUUUCGGUGUAGGAUGAGCCCGCGGCCUAUCAGCUUGUUGGUGGGGGGAUGGCCUACCAAGGCGACGACGGGUAGCCGGCCUGGGAGGGUGAUCGGCCACAUUGGGACUGAGAUACGGCCCAGACUCCUACGGGAGGCAGCAGUGGGGAAUAUUGCACAAUGGGCGGAAGCCUGAUGCAGCGACGCCGCGUGAGGGAUGACGGCCUUCGGGUUGUAAACCUCUUUCAGCAGGGACGAAGCGUAAGUGACGGUACCUGCAGAAGAAGCACCGGCUAACUAUGUG
rnacentral:rRNA from 1 species